rnacentral:lncRNA from 1 species
CAGUUUAGGUUUUAAAACCCUAAUGCUGGCUAAAGGGAAAAUUCAGUUUAGGGUUUAAAACCCUAAUGCCGACUAAAGGAAAAAUUCAGUUUAGGGUUUAAAACCCUAAUGCUGACUGCAUGGAAAAGCUCAGUUUAGGGUUUAAAACCCUAAUGCUGGCUAAAGGAAAAAUUCAGUUUAGGGUUUAAAACCCUAAUGCUGACUAAAGGAAAAAAAGUUCAGUUUAGGGUUUAAAACCCUAAUGCUGACUAAAGGAAAAAUUCAGUUUAGGGUUUAAAACCCUAAUGCUGAUUGCAUGGAAAAGCUCAGUUUAGAGUUUAAAACCCUAAUGCUGACUAAAGGAAAAAUUCAGUUUAGGGUUUAAAACCCUAAUGCUGAUUGCAUAGAAAAGCUCAGUUUAGGGUUUAAAACCCUAAUGCUGGCUGAAUGGAAAAAGUUCAGUUUAGGGUUUAAAACCCUAAUGCUGACUAAAAGGGAAAAUUCAGUUU